AUUGAACGCUGGCGGCAGGCCUAACACAUGCAAGUCGAGCGGAUGAAGGGAGCUUGCUCCUGGAUUCAGCGGCGGACGGGUGAGUAAUGCCUAGGAAUCUGCCUGGUAGUGGGGGAUAACGUCCGGAAACGGGCGCUAAUACCGCAUACGUCCUGAGGGAGAAAGUGGGGGAUCUUCGGACCUCACGCUAUCAGAUGAGCCUAGGUCGGAUUAGCUAGUUGGUGGGGUAAAGGCCUACCAAGGCGACGAUCCGUAACUGGUCUGAGAGGAUGAUCAGUCACAGUGGAACAGAGACAAGGACCCGUCUGGAAGGGGAAGCAGCGGUGGAGAAGAUAUGACAGGGAGCGAAAGCUAGAUAGAGAGAUGGGGUGUGUGUGAAGGAGGUCUGAGUAUUUAAAAAUUCUGUGAGUUGGGGGGAAGGGUAGUAAUUUAACUCCUUGCUGUUUUGACGUUACCAACAGAAUACGCACCGGAAAACUGCGUGACAGCAGAGGAAUAAUAACAGCAAAAGCACCCGUCUCACC
rnacentral:rRNA from 1 species